rnacentral:lncRNA from 1 species
AUUCAAGAUGUUGGCCGCACUCAUUGCAGUAGUUUCUCUCCUGAGCGUCGUAGCAACAGCUCCAGCUAAAUCCCCCGCAACUCCAGACAGUGCAAAUGAAAUCGACUCGGCGAACGGAAUCCUGGGUAAGCAGGUAUCAGCGUCUUGGGGCGGUUACUCAGCGACUGCAGGUCUAGGCGGAGGUCCGAACGGUGGAGGUCUCUUCGCUGGAGCCGGCGCUGCUGGAGGUCCGUCCGCCUCCGCAGGUCUCGGCGGUGGCUCAGGUUACGCUGGUGCCACCGCUGGAAGCGGUCAUGCCUCAGGUGCCACUGCAGCCCAAGGAGGCAAUGGCCAAGGCUUCUUCGAUCACAUUUUUGCCAUUCCCAUUGGAGUUCUUCAGUCCGUGAACAAAUUCUUAAACCAAAAAGGUAACUCAACGAAAGUGAUGUCAACGAGAGACCCGCACAGGCCCUCAGGAGAUGCACCUCUGAACUUCGGCGGCUCCGCCUCGGCAGGUGCAGACGCUGCCCCCUUGGCCGGUGCCGGCUACAAACCCCAAGCCGGAGUCUCAACCACCAACGUCAACGGUCAACGAGAACCCUCCCAGAAAUCACCCACCUUCUACGACAAUGUAUUCGAUAUUCCGAUUUCUGCUCUUCGAGGAGUCAACCAGUUUCUUAACGGAGGCCGACAACCAUGA